rnacentral:ncRNA from 1 species
UGUCUCCUCCACCUCCUCCUUUGGUGGAUUAAGCCCGGGCCACAGCUGCCUGGGCUUUUUUUC